rnacentral:rRNA from 1 species
CCUACGGGAGGCUGCAGUAGGGAAUCUUCCACAAUGGGCGCAAGCCUGAUGGAGCAACACCGCGUGAGUGAAGAAGGGUUUCGGCUCGUAAAGCUCUGUUGUUGGAGAAGAACGUGCGUGAGUUUAACUGUUCACUCAGUGACGGUAUCUAACCAGAAAGUCACGGCUAACUCCGUGCCAGCAGCCGCGGUAAUACGUAGGUGGCAAGCGUUAUCCGGAUUUAUUGGGCGUAAAGCGCGCGCAGGCGGUUGCUUAGGUCUGAUGUGAAAGCCUUCGGCUUAACCGAAGAAGUGCAUCGGAAACCGGGCAACUAGAGUGCAGAAGAGGACAGUGGAACUCCAUGUGUAGCGGUGGAAUGCGUAGAGAUAUGGAAGAACACCAGUGGCGAAGGCGGCUGUCUGGUCUGCAACUGACGCUGAGGCUCGAAAGCAUGGGGAGCGAACAGGAUUAGAUACCCGUGUAGUU